GGCUCAGGAUGAACGCUAGCGGCAGGCCUAAUACAUGCAAGUCGAACGGUGAUAUUUAUAUCAUAGUGGCGCACGGGUGCGUAACACGUAUGCAACCUACCUAUUAUUGGGGGAUAGCCUUUGGAAACGGAGAUUAAUACCGCAUAAUACGAUUAACUGGCAUCGGUUGAUUGUUAAAGCAUUUGCGAUAAUAGAUGGGCAUGCGUCCAAUUAGUUAGUUGGUGUGGUAAUGGCUCACCAAGACGAUGAUUGGUAGGGGAUCUGAGAGGAUAAUCCCCCACACUGGCACUGAGAUACAGGCCAGACUCCUACGGGAGGCAGCAGUAGGGAAUAUUGGGCAAUGGGCGGAAGCCUGACCCAGCCAUGCCGCGUGCAGGAAGACGGCGUUAUGCGUUGUAAACUGCUUUUUUAUAGGAAGAAGGAUCCCUUGCGAGGGAAGGUGACGGUACUAUAAGAAUAAGCACCGGCUAACUCCGUGCCAGCAGCCGCGGUAAUACGGAGGGUGCAAGCGUUGUCCGGAUUUAUUGGGUUUAAAGGGUGCGUACGCGGUUUAUUAAGUCAGUGGUGAAAGACGGUCGCUCAACGAUUGCAGUGCCAUUGAUACUGGUAGACUUGAGUGAGAUUGAGGU
rnacentral:rRNA from 1 species